rnacentral:lncRNA from 1 species
AUAUAUAACUUAGUCUUUCUAGAGUAAGAGGCAAGACCAGAUGGGAGAGCUCAGAGUUACUGUAACUGGAGUCUGCCAACCUGGAUUUCAGUCUUCUGCUAGCUGUGAAUCCUCCUUCAGCCCUACCCCUGCCUCUCCCAGUUUCUUUUUCUCUAAAAUGGCAUUAAAAUGAAGCCUUUUUAAGAAGCUACCCAAAGCACGCUAUAAACCCACAAGUGCUAUAGAAGCAUAAAGAGUCAUUACUGUUACCAUAAUAAAUUCCCAGACCCUGUAUGGGAUGCAGCCCAGGGACUGCUUAUCCAGGUAGGUUACAGUGGUCUCUGACUACAAACCCCAUAGCACCACCAUCUUCUUCAAAGGAAGGGACCUGGGGUCUUCUGGGAAUCUCUGGAAGGCUUUGAUAUUGCUUCUUUGCUACUUUAAUUGCAGUUAUGAUUUAUUGAAGGCUCAUCGUGUGUCAGGUAAAGCACAUAAAACUGAACAUGCCAGAGUUAAGCGUCGGCGGUGCACGCCUGCAAGUCCAGGAGCUGGGCCAUAGAGCUUUUAUACCUUCCAAAGGUGGGAUCCACUUGGGUUUCUUUCUUUCUUUUUUUUAACUUGGGGUUUCUUUUAAUUAAUUUAUGUAUUAAAAUAAUUUGCAAGCAUUGAUGUGUAUGUACCAUGUGCAUGCAGAUGCGCACAGAGGCUAGAAGAGGGCGUCGAACCCCUUAGAACUGGAGUUACAGAUGGUUAUGAACUACCAUUUGGGUGCUGAAAAUAAACCUGGGUCCUCUGGAAGAGCAGUCAACGAUCUUGGCAUUGAGCUGUCUCUGCAUCCAGCCCCACCUCACCCACUUAUCUGUCUGUCUGUCUGUCCAUCUGUCCGUCCAUCCAUCUAGCCAUCCUUCUACCCACUUAUUUAUUUAUUUAUUACCCCUCCCCUUCCUCCUCCUCUUCCCUCUCCUCCUCCUCUUCUUCUUCUUCUUUGUUUUUCUGAUACAGUGUCUCUCUAUGAAAUCCUGACUAUCCUAGAACUCACCAUGUAGACCAGGCUGAUCUCAAACUCACAGAGAUCUGCUGAACACCGUCCCUCUCAAGUGCUAGGCUUACAGGCAUGGGCCACCUCAACCAGCCUUGAUUACAUCUUAAUGAAUUUUUACAUGCCUGUCUCAGCCCUGGCAUUACUUGCUACUCUGAAAUUUAUUUUGAUAGUAUUAUAGCCACUACAAUGUUUUUGUUUGCUUACUGCCACUACUCACCCCUACCCCAGCCCCUCUCUCCCCUUCCCUUUCUUCAAUACUGGGGAUUGAACCUAGAGUGUCAAACAUGGAAGGCUAGCGCUCUACUUUUGAGCUAUAAUCAAACCCUAUUUUUAAUACAGAACUCCUUAUGUUGUCCAGGUUGACCCCAGACUUGUGGACCCCAGAUGUUCCUUCUGCCUGAGCCUCUUGAAUGUCUCGGACAAUAGACAUCCACCAUUAUGCCCAGCGGAG